UCCCUGGAGGACUAGUGGUUAGACCACAGCACUCUUACUGCUGUGGCCCGGCUUCGAAUCCUGGCCAGGGGA